UACGAAGGGGGCUAGCGUUGUUCGGAUUUACUGGGCGUAAAGCGCACGUAGGCGGAUCGUUAAGUCGGGGGUGAAAUCCUGGAGCUCAACUCCAGAACUGCCUUCGAUACUGGCGAUCUUGAGUCCGGAAGAGGUGAGUGGAACUCCUAGUGUAGAGGUGGAAUUCGUAGAUAUUAGGAAGAACACCGGUGGCGAAGGCGGCCUGCUGGGCAGUAGCUGACGCUGAGGCGCGACAGCGUGGGGAGCAAACAGG
rnacentral:rRNA from 1 species